GAUCCUGACUCAGGAUGAACGCUGGCGGCAUGCCUAAUACAUGCAAGUCGAACGAGAGGGAAGGAAAGCUUGCUUUUCUGAAUCUAGUGGCGAACGGGUGAGUAACACGUAGGUAACCUGCCCAUGUGCCCGGGAUAACUUCUGGAAACGGAUGCUAAAACCGGAUAGGUAGCAGACAAGCAUUUGACUGCUAUUAAAGUGGCUAAGGCCAUGAACAUGGAUGGACCUGCGGUGCA
rnacentral:rRNA from 1 species